rnacentral:rRNA from 1 species
AGUUAAGUUUUUUAUUUACAUUAAAAAGAUUACUGUUCAAUUCAGUAUAAUUUGAUUAUUAAUUUAAUUAUUAUUUUUUGUUUUUUAAAGUAUUAUUUGAUUAAUUAUUUAAAUAGAAAAAUUAUUUUUAAUUAUAGUUUAUUAGUAAAGUGAUUGAAUUUUUUUAUGUUUAAAAAAGAAAAAUUUAAUUUUUGUACCUUUUGUAUCAGGGUUAAUUAAUUAAAUGUUUUAUAUAAAAUUUUCUCGAAUUAAUAAGAUUUAAUUAAUUAUAUGUUUAAUUUUUUCAUAAAUUUUCAUAAUUUUUAAUUUGAAAUGAAAUGUUAUUCGUUUUUUAGUAUAUCUAGUUUUUUAAGAAAAGAAUUUAAUUCUCUUAUUAUUUACUUAUUUUCUAAUUUUUAGUUAAUAAUUUUUAGUAUGAAAUAUUUGAAGGGAUGAGCUUUUAAUUAUAUAAUUAAAAAUUUAAUUUAAUUUUAUUUUUUGUAUAAUUUAUAUUGUUAAUCAUUUUAAUAAUUUAAUAGUUGAUUUUAUUUUAUUAUAAAAUUUAUAUUUAAUUUUAAUUUUUAUAUUAAAAAAUUUUGUUUAAUAUUUUUUCUUUAGUUAUAAUGAUUAAAUUAGUAGAUGAUUUUGUAAUAUUUUGUUAAUUUUUAAGUUAAUAAAAAGGAAUUCGGCAAAUUAAUUUUUCGCCUGUUUAUUAAAAACAUGUCUUUUUGAUUAUAAUUUAAGGUUUAAUCUGCUCAAUGAUUAUUUAAAUUGCCGCAGUAUUUUGACUGUGCAAAGGUAGCAUAAUAAUUAGCUUUUUAAUUGGAAGCUGGAAUGAAUGAUUGGACGAGAAAAUUUCUGUCUCUUUAUUAUUUUUAUUUAAUUUUACUUUUAAGUUAAAAGGCUUAAAUUUUUUUAAAAGACGAGAAGACCCUAUAGAGUUUUAUUUAUAUUUAUUUAAGUUUUUAUUGGAAUUUUAGAGGUUUAUUUUUUUAUAAAUUUAGUUGGGGUGACUAAAAGAUUUUUUUAACUCUUUUAAUUUUAAUCAAUUAUUUUUGAAUAUUAAAUCUAUAUUUUUAAAUUUAAAAUAAAUUACCUUAGGGAUAACAGCGUAAUUUUUUUUUAAAGUUCAUAUUAAAAGAAGAGUUUGCGACCUCGAUGUUGGAUUAAAAUUUAUUUUAGGUGUAGAAGCUUAAAUAUUAAGUCUGUUCGACUUUUAAAAUUUUACAUGAUCUGAGUUUAAACCGGUGUGAGCCAGGUUGGUUUCUAUCUUUAAUUUUUUAAUGUUUUUUAGUACGAAAGGACCAAAUAUAUAAUAUAAUAUUUUAUUUUGAAUAUUAUUGUUACUUUGGCAGAAUAGUGCAAUUGAUUUAGGAUCUUUAUA